rnacentral:rRNA from 1 species
GUCCACGCCCUAAACGAUGAUUACUCGAUGUGUGCGAUACACUGUACGCGUCUGAGCGAAAGCAUUAAGUAAUCCACCUGGGGAGUACGGCCGCAAGGCUGAAACUCAAAGGAAUUGACGGGGCCCGCACAAGCGGAGGAGCAUGUGGUUUAAUUCGAUGAUACGCGAGGAACCUUACCAGGGCUUGAAAGUUAGGGAAUGAUCUGGAAACAGGUCAGUCAGCAAUGACCCGAAACUAGGUGCUACAUGGCUGUCGU